GGAAAUUGUUUCUCCAUGAGGAGAAUCAUUUCAGAGCUCUGUGGACUUCAUCUUCAAAAAUAGCCAAAUAAUUCGAGAGAAAAUGAGUUUAUCCCA